rnacentral:lncRNA from 1 species
UGGGGUGCAGACCUCACCUUACAAGCUGGUUUUGUGGGGGUUGAGUUAAGCCUAAAACCCAUUUCUAACAAAAACCUUUAUAAGAUAAUUAUUAGCGGUCGAUAAUUAUUAGCGAUGCAGCUUUUCUUAGUGAUUUUUAAAACUGCGGGUAAUGCAUUUAGGUGGGGUUAAAACCCCGGUUGUAAAAUGAAACUCCAGGUAAAAUUUGACUUUUUUUUAGUG